UGUAUCUCAGUUGGUAGAGUGUAGCGCUUGCAACGCUAGGAUAGUGGGUUCAAUUCCCGGGACCA
rnacentral:tRNA from 1 species